AGCAGCAGCGCAGCCAGGAGGAGGCGCCCUCGGGCCGGCCAGCCGUCCCGCCGCCCGCCCCCGCCCCCCGGCGCCAUGUUGCUCCGGCCCCGCCGCUGCCCGCGCCCCGCCGCGCGCCUCACUCGGCGCCUCCGCUCCUGCCCUCCUGCCGCUCCGCUGCCGCCGCGCCAACUGCCCCAGCCGAGGACCUGACGUCAGACCGCGCCCCGCCCGCCCCGCCCCGCCGCCCCACGCCCCUUAUUUGCAUGCGAUGUCCCGCCCCUACCCACGGCUCGCGCGCCCGGCUUAAGGAGGUCUGCGCCCUUAAGGUUCCCAAGAUGGAGGAGCUGUGGGCAAAGAAGCAGCCUUUCUGUUCAUGCCCAGAGCCUAAGCCCUGCCCUGAACCCACACUGGAAGUCUGUUGGGGCUUGUGUGGGCCCUGGAGUGGAUAGUCUGGCUGUGGACUGUGGAUGCAUUUAUCAGGGGAUGGUGCAAGCCAUCAUCGGAAGCAGAACGUCUGAAUGACCCGGGACCCCGAGAUUCUAGGAUGUAGAAGAGCAUGGAAUCACUGCAAGGCAGCCAGUGCUGCAGUUUCAUAAUGGAUUGCUUUGCCUAGCAUAUGCCAGGCCCUGGGUUCAAUCUCCAGCAUGGUGAAAAAGAAAGAAAAUUGUCAAGAGAAGUAUUAUGAAGAUGUGUGGUCCUUCCAGUGCUACCUGGCUUUGGCUAAAAUUAAAUAGAAAGAAACUCCACAAACUCUCAUGCUUUUGCAACCCUUUGGCAAGGCAGAGGCAGGGUCUCUCAAACAAGCACACUAUAGCCAGCUUCCUCUGGGGGAUCGAUCCCCUGUUUCUACCUUUUGAGUCUGGAAUUACUACAUUUAUUGGAUGCUCACCAUACAUGAGGCAUCUCCUUAGUCUUUUAAAAAGACUUUUAAGUUGGUCAUGGUGAUGUGUGGGGUAAAAAUGGCGUCCUGCAUCCGCUCGGGGCGAGGGCCAAUAGGCGAGGUGGACGUGGGAAGUUUGACUGCGCCAACCCCAGGCUGCCACAUGAAUGUGAGAAGCCAAGGAAUCCCACACUGAGGGCGAGGAAGGCGCAGUCUGGUGUCCCUGCGGAAGUUGGGCUCCAACUCUCGGGCACCACAGAUACCUCUGGGGGCAACAGAAGAGCCAGUUCUGGGGUCCCUGGGUCUGCUCGGAGGCCAGGGACAACAGGUUCUUGCUCUCGGACAUCCCAGAUGCCGCUGUAUGUCGAGGAAGAACUGAGAACGGGUUGGAUGCUGGCAGUUGUGCCUGCAGCGCAGAGAGGUCUCCUGGUGGGAGGUUACAUGUGUGGCUCAUUAGCGGAAGACCUGCUCCAUUGCUCCAGCACAGCCGGUCCAGAUGAGCAGAGAUGGUCCAUGGUUUUAAGGCGUUUAUUGUAGAAAGGCAGAGAGGGGGAGAGAAUAGGGAGGUAGAGGCUGGCCAUGGCCACGUGGAGGGGUUGGGAGCGGGAAGGGAAGGUGGAGAGAGGGGGAAUAAGGGAGCAAGAGAGUAAGAGGUAAGAGAGUAAGGAGGGGGCAAGCAGCUCCUUUUAUAGUGGGCUGGGGCUACCUGGCUGUUGCCAGGUAACUGUGGGGGUGGAGUCCUGACAGAAUACCAGGACCUUGGGGCAUUGCCUACAUGACUGAUGUCCACACACCUUUCUGCAGGGGGCUGGGGGAGGCUGUAGUUGUGACAGGAGCCAGGGACCCAGGAGGCAUGGCCAAACUCCUAUGGUCCCCAUGAAGGCGGAACUCACCACCCACCAGGUCUCUGGGGUUCCAGGCCUAUGCUUGACCAGGACCAGGCUGGUAUGGCAGUGUACAUGGUUAAUCCUGGCACUCAUCAGACAGAAGCAGGUAGAUCUCUGAGUUGAGGUCAGCCUGGUGUCUAUGUUAUAUACGGGAGUUUCAAGCCAAACAAGAACUAAAUAGUUACACCUGGGAGCUGGCCAUGGUUGCAAGAAUUGUCUGUGAGCAGGGCGUGGUGGCACACGCCUUUAAUCCCAGCACUCGGGAGGCAGAGGCAGGCGGAUUUCUGAGUUCGAGGCCAUCCUGGUCUACAAAGUGAGUUCCAAGACAGCCAGGGCUAUACAGAGAAACCCUGUCUCGAAAACCAAAAAAAAAAGAGUUGCCUGUGAACCAGCCCCAAGGGUGUGAGAGCAGCCAUUGCCAGCUUCAGCUCUGAGUGAGCUAGCAGGGCAGAACUGGAGAGCUCACCCUGGUGGUGUGGGUUCGGGAGAGCCAGCAGGCUGACCAGCUCGGCCACCACCCAGGCCCAGAUCCACGGCUUUGAUUUGGCCCAGCCCAACAUCUAUUUACCCCAGCUAUGAACUGCUGAGGUUUGGGGAGGGUUUGGGACUGCAGAUCCAAAGCUACAGGACCUCCAUGACACAGGGCAACAACAGGACAUCCAAGAGGGGUCCCAGCGAGGAUCAAGUAUUAAUAGUGUAGCAGAAGCCAGAGGUCUCGAAGCAGCCCAAUGAUGCAUUGCAAUGGACACAUGCAAGUAAAGAAGUAUGGACAAAAGGGUGCACUGUGGGACACACUGUGACACACCACAGCUUCCACAAGGAGAUUUUUUUUCUUUUGGGAGGUUUGCAAGGGUGGGGGUGGAUAGGAAGGGAUGGGGAGAUGAGUGGGAUUGGGGUACAUGAUGUGAAAUUCACGAAGAACCAAUAAAAAGUUAAAAUAAAAACAUAGGGGGCAGAAGAGAUGGCCCAGUGGUUAAGAGUGUGUACCGCUGUUACAGAGAACAAGAGUUGGGUUCCCAGGACCCACGAUGGUUGCUAAUAAUUGCCUGUCACUCCAGCUCCAGGGAAUCUCAUGUUCUUUUUUGGGCUUCACAUACAUACAUAAUUAAAUAAAAAGUCUUAAAAAAACUAA
rnacentral:lncRNA from 1 species